rfam:Salmo salar isolate Sally breed double haploid chromosome ssa25, whole genome shotgun sequence.
UGGCUCAGUUGGUAGAGCAUGGUGUUUGCAACACCAGGGUUGUGGGUUCGAUUUCCAC